AUACGGAGGGUGCGAGCGUUAAUCGGAAUUACUGGGCGUAAAGCGCGCGUAGGCGGCUUGUUAAGUCGGAUGUGAAAUCCCCGGGCUCAACCUGGGAACUGCAUUCGAUACUGGCAAGCUAGAGUAUAGUAGAGGCAAGUGGAAUUCCGGGUGUAGCGGUGAAAUGCGUAGAUAUCCGGAGGAACAUCAGUGGCGAAGGCGACUUGCUGGACUAAUACUGACGCUAAGGAGCGAAAGCGUGGGGAGCAAACGGGAUUAGAAACCCCGGUAGUCC
rnacentral:rRNA from 1 species